rnacentral:rRNA from 1 species
AGAGUUUGAUCAUGGCUCAGAUUGAGCGCUGGCGGAAUGCUUUACACAUGCAAGUCGAACGGCAGCACGGGGGUAACCCUGGUGGCGAGUGGCGAACGGGUGAGUAAUACAUCGGAACGUGCCCAGUCGUGGGGGAUAACUACGCGAAAGCGUGGCUAAUACCGCAUACGAUCUACGGAUGAAAGCGGGGGACCGCAAGGCCUCGCGCGAUUGGAGCGGCCGAUGGCAGAUUAGGUAGUUGGUGGGGUAAAGGCCUACCAAGCCGACGAUCUGUAGCUGGUCUGAGAGGACGACCAGCCACACUGGGACUGAGACACGGCCCAGACUCCUACGGGAGGCAGCAGUGGGGAAUUUUGGACAAUGGGCGCAAGCCUGAUCCAGCCAUUCCGCGUGCAGGAUGAAGGCCCUCGGGUUGUAAACUGCUUUUGUACGGAACGAAAAGGUGCUCUCUAAUACAGGGCGCUCAUGACGGUACCGUAAGAAUAAGCACCGGCUAACUACGUGCCAGCAGCCGCGGUAAUACGUAGGGUGCAAGCGUUAAUCGGAAUUACUGGGCGUAAAGCGUGCGCAGGCGGUUUUGUAAGACAGGUGUGAAAUCCCCGGGCUUAACCUGGGAACUGCACUUGUGACUGCAAAGCUGGAGUGCGGCAGAGGGGGAUGGAAUUCCGCGUGUAGCAGUGAAAUGCGUAGAUAUGCGGAGGAACACCGAUGGCGAAGGCAAUCCCCUGGGCCUGCACUGACGCUCAUGCACGAAAGCGUGGGGAGCAAACAGGAUUAGAUACCCUGGUAGUCCACGCCCUAAACGAUGUCAACUGGUUGUUGGUCCUUUGCUGGAUCAGUAACGAAGCUAACGCGUGAAGUUGACCGCCUGGGGAGUACGGCCGCAAGGUUGAAACUCAAGGAAU